GGCGGCGUGCCUAAUACAUGCAAGUAGAACGCUGAAGGAAGGAGCUUGCUCUUUCCGGAUGAGUUGCGAACGGGUGAGUAACGCGUAGGUAACCUGCCUGGUAGCGGGGGAUAACUAUUGGAAACGAUAGCUAAUACCGCAUAACAGUAGAUAUCGCAUGAUAGCUGCUUGAAAGGUGCAAUUGCACCACUACCAGAUGGACCCGCGUUGUAUUAGCUAGUUGGUGAGGUAACGGCUCACCAAGGCAACGAUACAUAGCCGACCUGAGAGGGUGAUCGGCCACACUGGGACUGAGACACGGCCCAGACUCCUACGGGAGGCAGCAGUAGGGAAUCUUCGGCAAUGGACGGAAGUCUGACCGAGCAACGCCGCGUGAGUGAAGAAGGUUUUCGAAUCGUAAAGCUCUGAUGUAAGAGAAGAACGAGUGUGAGAGUGGAAAGUUCACACUGUGA
rnacentral:rRNA from 1 species